GAACGCUGGCGGCGUGCUUAACACAUGCAAGUCGAACGAUGAAGAAGAGAACCGAAGCUUCGGCCGAAGUUCACUUCGGAUUAGUGGCAGACGGGUGAGUAACGCGUGAGCAACCUACCUCUUACAAAGGGAUAGCCAUGGGAAACCGUGAUUAAUACCAUAUGACACAUUCAUAAGGCAUCUUAAGAAUGUUAAAGCUACGGCGGUAAGAGAUGGGCUCGCGUCCCAUUAGCUAGUUGGUGAGGUAACGGCCCACCAAGGCGACGAUGGGUAACCGGCCUGAGAGGGUGAACGGUCGCAUUGGAACUGAGACACGGUCCAAACUCCUACGGGAGGCAGCAGUGGGGAAUAUUGCACAAUGGAGGAAACUCUGAUGCAGCGACGCCGCGUGAGCGAUGAAGGAAUUCGUUUCGUAAAGCUCUGUUCUAUGGGAAGAAAAGGACUGUACCAUAGGAGCAAGCCCCGGCUAAAUACGUGCCAGCCGCCGCGGUAA
rnacentral:rRNA from 2 species